UAGAGUAGGUAUUGUGCGUAAAGUGUCAUAAGAUGGGAUGUUGCUUAUGAACGAAAGCUUUGCUGCGGUGCAAUAUCGCGUCCGCUA
rnacentral:ncRNA from 1 species